UACGAAGGGGGGCUAGCGUUGCUCGGAAUCACUGGGCGUAAAGGGUGCGUAGGCGGGUCUUUAAGUCAGGGGUGAAAUCCUGGAGCUCAACUCCAGAACUGCCUUUGAUACUGAAGAUCUUGAGUUCGGGAGAGGUGAGUGGAACUGCGAGUGUAGAGGUGAAAAUUCGUAGAUAUUCGCAAGAACACCAGUGGCGAAGGCGGCUCACUGGCCCGAUACUGACGCUGAGGCACGAAAGCGUGGGGAUCAAACAGG
rnacentral:rRNA from 1 species